rnacentral:sRNA from 1 species
ACGGAUGUGCCUCCGACGGUCUCCUCUUGUUCAGCCUCCUGGCAAGGAGCAGAGCUGGCGGGAGGCGGCUUUGGGGAAGAAUCUCUGUCCACAAAGAGUAAGGAAGGGCUUCUGCUCACCCCCAAUGCGUCAGCCCCAGGUGGUCUGUGGGGGACCCUCGAAGGUCUGGCAGUGCAGCUGGAGUCCCAGCUUCCACCUUACCACAGCCAGCAGGAGCCACCCAGGACCAGGGCAGUCUUCUUGAGAGGCAGGACCCAGCUAGGGGUUGGCGGGGCUCGGAGUUGGUCGGGCAUUCUGGGGACCUGGCUGAGCCUCCCAGGACUUUGAUGCAAAUGGCUGUUUCAGGGCUUCCUCCCAGACCCAGUCCUGAGGCUCAAGGGCGUCAUCGGCUUUGGGGGCCACGGCACCAGACAGGCCCUGUGGACCCCAGACGGGGCGGCUGUCGUGUACCCCUGCCAUGCGGUGAUCGUCGUCCUGCUCGUGGACACGGGGGAGCAGCGCUUCUUCCUUGGCCACACAGACAAGGUGGGUGCUGCCCACCCACCUUGGGCCC